AAAAAUAGUGAUGUUAAUUCUACUUCUGGAGCUUGCUCUUCUUGUGUCAUAUUUAACAAAGAAGAGGAGCCAAGACCUGGUGGAGCAACUGAUUGUCCUUCUACAACAACAUUGGAAUAGCAAGACCGCAUCUUCUUCUAGUUUUGAUGGCUUUCCUCAUCACCAUCUGCUGAUAGUUUCCUUUUGUUCUCAACAUAUGAGAUGAGUUGAGAGUCAAGGUUGAUGAUAGGGAGGCCUUCUUCAU
rnacentral:misc_RNA from 1 species